rnacentral:rRNA from 1 species
ACGGAAGGCAGCAGUGGGGAAUAUUGCACAAUGGGGGAAACCCUGAUGCAGCGACGCCGCGUGAGUGAAGAAGUAUUUCGGUAUGUAAAGCUCUAUCAGUAGGGAAGAAAAUGACGGUACCUAACUAAGAAGCCCCGGCUAACUACGUGCCAGCAGCCGCGGUAAUACGUAGGGGGCAAGCGUUAUCCGGAUUUACUGGGUGUAAAGGGAGCGCAGACGGCAAAGCAAGUCUGAUGUGAAAUGCGGGGGCUCAACCCCUGAACUGCAUUGGAAACUGUUUAGCUAGAGUGCAGGAGAGGUAAGUGGAAUUCCUAGUGUAGCGGUGAAAUGCGUAGAUAUUAGGAGGAACACCGGUGGCGAAGGCGGCUUACUGGACUGUAACUGACGUUGAGGCUCGAAAGCGUGGGGAGCAAACAGGAUUAGAUACCCUGGUA